rnacentral:misc_RNA from 1 species
UACGAAGGGAGCGAGCGUUGUUCGGAUUUACUGGGCGUAAAGGGCGCGCAGGCGGGGCGGCAAGUCGAACGUGAAAACUGACGGCUCAACCAUCAGAUUGCGUUCGAAACUACCGUUCUUGAGUCCAGGAGAGGAGAGCGGAAUCCCAGGUGUAGCGGUGAAAUGUGUAGAUAUCUGGGAGAACACCGGUGGCGAAGGCGGCUCUCUGGCCUGGUACUGACGCUGAGGCGCGAAAGCUAGGGUAGCAAACAGG